ensembl:lncRNA
GCUAAAUGAUUGAAAUGAAUGAUUAAAUGUUAAAGUACUCACGAGGCCUUGUCCUGUUCAGCAAACAUAAUGACUGUAUGUAUCACUACCCUGUAAGUGACCCUUAACAGAUUAGAUAUGAGAUUUCUAGAUUGCUGCUGAUUGGUCAAGUAGGUGGCAUCUGCCUCAGCCAAUGACAUUCCAGUAAGUCUCAAGUGAAUUGCGGAACCCAGUAAACAUCAAGCACACUGCUUUUGUUCAAUGACAGUGGGGUAAUAACAAUAAUAAUUAUAACAAUAAUAAUAAUAAUAAUAUAUAUUGGUGUCUUUCAUUACCUUCAAAAGUAAAGGGAGAAAGUAAGGAAAAAGAGGAAACUUCACAUUAUAUAGAAAACAUUAAAUGAAAAAAAAAAUUAUGUUCUUCAUCUUUUACUCUGAGUGCUUCAGAGUUUGAGUGCUUUAAGAAAAAAAAGAGUUCAUUGUGGAACGCCUUCAGGAGGAAGCAAGAGAGCUUACGCUUCCUUCGUCACGGCAGUUCGCUGUUGUAACGUCUCAAGGAUAAACCAGCGUUGACGAGAUUAAUAAGAAAACAAACAGAAAUGAAAUGAAGGGGAAAAUAGUCAAAUAUGGAACAAAAGAAAAAAACGAAAAGAAAGCAAAAAGGACACAUUAGAUCAAAAUGUCUACUCGCUAAUUAUAAUGCUUCUCUGAGCGCAAUUUCAUAAAGGUCAUAAAAAAGACAAAAGGAAAAAUAAUAAAUUAUACUGUACAUAACUUACUCAAACUUAAGAUGACCAUCGUUUAUAAUUAAUGUUAAUAAUAUUAUUACACUAGAGGCAGUUUGAACAAAAUGAAAAAUAAAAUACAGUAUUUAAAAAAAAUAACAAACAAACAAAAAAAAACUGCCAUGCAGAGUGAGUUCACCUCCAUCAAUGACAACAGCACAGCCACCUUGCGGGGCCGGUUGAGUGACACCCCAUCCAGCCAAUGGGGAGCUCGAGUGAGGACAGCAGAGUAACAAUGAAUAUGACGUCAAUGAGAAAUGGGCAAAACCCUAAACCAUCAGUGUGAGAGUGGAGAGCAGCAUUAUGACAUCCACACACACACACACACACACACACACACACACACACACACACACACACACACACACACACACACACACACACCUCUAGUCAGCAAUGAUUAUGGUAUGAAAUAUGAUUGAGAGAUGGCCAUUCUAUAGUUAUCACUAUACUUCACAC